rnacentral:misc_RNA from 1 species
UUUCCGUAGGUGAACCUGCGGAAGGAUCAUUCAUAAUAAAGUGUUUUAUGGCACUUUUUAAAAAUCCAUAUCCACCUUGUGUGCAAUGUUAGAUCUCGUCAAUCUUGGCGAGAUUUUUAUACAUCAACUCAUUCUUUAACUAAUUUGUCUGAAAAAUAUUAUGAAUACUUAAUUCAAAAUACAACUUUCAACAACGGAUCUCUUGGCUCU